AAGACACAGAGACAGCAACAGAAGAAUAGGAUAUGACGGAGAGAGACACCAAACAAGACACAGAGACAGCAACAGAAGAAUAGGAUAUGAUGGAGAGAGACACCAGACAAGACACAGAGACAGCAACAGAAUAAUAGGAUGUGAUGGAGAGAGACACCAGACAAGACACAGAGACAGCAACAGAGGACACAGAGAAAGUGAUGGGGAGAGACAGAAGAAUAGAGUUCCAGACAGUUGUAGAAUGUAUGCCAAGACACAUUGUAAGAGCUAUAAAGAGAGAGGGAGUGGGAGAGAAAACAGGCAGAACCUGAUAUGUAAAUGAGGAGAGCAAAUGAAACUAACUUUUGACGACCUGAUGAUCAUCCAGACUCUGUUUCUAUUGAGAGAUAAAAGGCUGGUUGAAUGAGUUGUCUAUGAAAGCUACUUCAUCUGUAAGAAAACAGGCGUCUGCACCAGUGACUGCUGGUUGAAUGAGUUGUCUAUGAAAGCUACUUCAUCUGUGAGAAAACAGGCGUCUGCACCAGUGACUGUAAGUUAUGUGAUUUCCUCAUGUGAAAUUAAAAAUGUGUUUGUAGCCUACGCAGUUAUAAAAUGGCUGUUGAAACUGUGACACAUAUUUCUCAGGACAUUAGAAGUCAGAUAAAUGUAUUGAGACGUAGGAAAGAUGGGCAAACUCUCGUUGGUCUUGGCUUUCUACACACUAUUAUAAGGUUAGUUGAUGUUAGACAUUCAAUAGUCAGAGUAGGUUUGAGUUAUGAUCACUUAUCAUGCUGACAAACCUGAUGGUCUCUGUGAACUGAUCUGAACAGGU